AGCAUGGAAAUGAUCGGAAUAAAAUAUGACGGGAGAAGUAGAAAUUAUGAUUCUGAGCCCUGUGAUACAUAUUCGCACAAAAAGUUUGAGCGUAGCGCGCAAUCCUGGAGCGCGAGGGAGCUUUGAAUCUCGCGGCAGAAAUGCCCCCUCACUCGGCUGUCAGCCGCUGACGUCAUGUGACCGCGCCGUCUUUUUCUUUAUUUUUUGCGAUUUCUCCGGCGCGCGCUGGCAAGCCGACCGGGAAGGAAGCGUUGUUGCUCAUCGGACGCCGUGCGAAGGACAGGUGAUGAAUUGAACACUCUUUAGGCGACACGUCUGCUCUUCUCGACGAAACGUUUUAUGGAGUUGGAGGCUAAGUUCCUCGAGCUUCGAUUUCGCCACACGAAUGUACCGGAGGCUGUCAUGAAGACGCGGCGCAGUGACCAGUGUUUUCACUUGAAGACGUUGCCGACCAUCAUGACUUCUCCGUGUUGUAGUCAACACUAUGGGCUCUGAAACGCAUGGACACUGGCAUCUCUGAGGCGAAAGAGCGGACCGAUGAACGCAUAGCUAUGUAACAUUGCGCUUGUGAUACCAGGAGCGUAACGUCUCCACAAACACUACAACAUGAAUACCAAAAUAAAGUUAGUAAAGUUCAUCUGCUAGCGAUCUGUGGGAAACCCCAAAAUACAUGGUCAAAUAAUCAUUUUCUUUUUUGAAUGGUCAUACGCAGAAUACAACACUGGCACAUGGAAUAAAUCUCCAACUGACAGGAACGUAUUUAGUCGUAUCACAUAUAUAUAUGCUGCACACACAGGCACAAUACUGUUCACUAAUGAACGACACCUCAGCACAAUCGGAACAGAAAUCGCAACCGCGUACGAUCCACCUCAACCCGGGCCGUCACUGCAACACAGAGGCCUGGCUACACCUUUUACACUGCCCGCAGUCUUGUUUUAUGCAAAACUUACGAGACAAAUCAUGUAAGAACGCAAGUGAAUGUCAAACGCAAAUAAAUAGCAACAGCGUCU